ACCGAAGCGGCGGACUAAUCUAUAUUAGUGGUAGGGGAGCUUUCCCCGCAGCGGAGAAGCCGAGAGGGCGACCCUCGGUGGAGCGCGGGGAAGUGAGAAUGCUGGCAUGAGUAACGAGAGCGGCGCGAGAAACGCCGCCGCCGUAAGCCUAAGGGUUCCUGGGCAAGGCUAAUCCUCCCAGGGUCAGUCGGGAGCUAAGGCGAGGCCGAGAGGCGUAGCCGAUGCGCAACAGGCGGACAUUCCUGUACCGCCUGCGGACCGCUAUCACCGACGGGGUGACGGAGAAGGGUAGCCGAGCGGGGUUCUGGACGUCCCCGUGAAAGCGCGUAGGGAGCAUCGCAUGGAAAUCAGCGGCGCACGUAUCCUGAGACGCGAGACGAAAGCUUAUGCUGAAGUCGGCGAGCCCAUGCUUCCGAGAAAAACCUCUAGGAAGGGACGCAGGCGCCCGUACCAAAACCGACACAGGUGGGCAGGUAGAGCAUACCGAGGCGAUCGGGAGAACCAUGGUUAAGGAACUCGGCAUACUGACUCCGUAACUUCGGGAGAAGGAGUGCCCCUGGCGGUGACGGGACU
rnacentral:rRNA from 1 species